GUUUUUCCCCACCCGUGGACAGGUUUCAUUCUCGCAUGGAGUGGUCAGACCCUCCUCAGGCCCGUGAAACGGUGACAGGCUGUGUAGGUUUUUCUUGUUUCCAGGUCUUGUUUUGAAUUGACUUUCAUGCAAUUGUUCUUUGUUUUUCCCAGGAAGAUUACACCUGGUGCCCGGACCGCAUGGGGAAGCGCCUGCACCGUCCGUGGAGCACAUCCAGUGCCAGCGCUACCCCAGGGGCCACGGCCUGCAGGGACAUCCCCUUCAAGAAGGACGAGGACCUCGUGUGGGAUCGGCUCCUCUCCUGGCAGCAGGUCUGCAGAGGCUGCCAGCACCUCAUGCCAUGGAAACGGCUCCGCUCGGCCUGCCAGGCUGGGAGGGCUGGAGGGUGGCGGGUGUUCAUUUGCUGUCGAAAAGAAAUCGUUCUAUUUUUUUGU